AGUGAACGCUGGCGGUAGGCCUAACACAUGCAAGUCGAACGGCAGCACAGUAAGAGCUUGCUCUUACGGGUGGCGAGUGGCGGACGGGUGAGGAAUACAUCGGAAUCUACUUUUUCGUGGGGGAUAACGUAGGGAAACUUACGCUAAUACCGCAUACGACCUACGGGUGAAAGCAGGGGAUCUUCGGACCUUGCGCGAUUGAAUGAGCCGAUGUCGGAUUAGCUAGUUGGGGGGUAAAGGCCCACCAAGGCGACGACCCGUAGCUGGUCUGAGAGGAUGAUCAGCCAAACUGGAACUGAGACACGGUCCAGACUCCUACGGGAGGCAGAAGUGGGGAAUAUUGGACAAUGGGCGCAAGCCUGAUCCAGCCAUACCGCGUGGGUGAAGAAGGCCUUCGGGUUGUAAAGCCCUUUUGUUGGGAAAGAAAAGCAGCAGGUUAAUACCCCGCUGUUCUGACGGUACCCAAAGAAUAAGCACCGGCUAACUUCGUG
rnacentral:rRNA from 1 species